CACGUAGGGUGCGAGCGUUGUCCGGAAUUAUUGGGCGUAAAGAGCUCGUAGGCGGUCUGUCGCGUCUGCUGUGAAAACUCAGGGCUUAACCCUGAGCUUGCAGUGUGUACGGGCAGACUAGAGUGCGGUAGGGGAGACUGGAAUUCCUGGUGUAGCGGUGAAAUGCGCAGAUAUCAGGAGGAACACCGGUGGCGAAGGCGGGUCUCUGGGCCGUAACUGACGCUGAGGAGCGAAAGCAUGGGGAGCGAACAGG
rnacentral:rRNA from 1 species